GGAGGGAUGGCUGAGUGGUUGAAAGCACCGGUCUUGAAAACCGGCGACGGUUUACCCCGUUCUAGAGUUCGAAUCUCUAUCCCUCCGCCA
rnacentral:tRNA from 3 species